GACGAACGCUGGCGGCGUGCUUAACACAUGCAAGUCGAACGGAAAGGCCUCUUUCGGGGGGUACUCGAGUGGCGAACGGGUGAGUAACACGUGAGUAACCUGCCCUUGACUUUGGGUUAACUUCAGGAAACUGGGGCUAAUACCGGAUAGGAGCUCCUGCUGCAUGGUGGGGGUUGGAAAGUUUCGGCGGUUGGGGAUGGGUUCGCGGCUUAUCGGCGUGUUGGUGGGGUAGUGGCUUACCAAGGCUUUGACGGGUAGCCGGCCUGAGGGGGUGACCGGCCACAUUGGGACUGAGGUGCGGCCCAGACUCCGACGGGAGGCAGCAGUGGGGAAUAUUGAACAAUGGGUGGAAGCCUGAUGCAGCAACGCCGUGUGCGGGAUGACGGCCUUCGGGUUGUAAACCGCUUUCGCUCAUGACGAAGCUUUGUGUGACGGUAGUGGGUAAAGAAGCACCGGCUAACUACGUG
rnacentral:rRNA from 1 species